rnacentral:rRNA from 1 species
UACGAAGGGGGCUAGCGUUGCUCGGAAUCACUGGGCGUAAAGCGCACGUAGGCGGAUUGCUAAGUCAGGGGUGAAAUCCUGGAGCUCAACUCCAGAACUGCCUUUGAUACUGGCGAUCUUGAGUCCGGGAGAGGUGAGUGGAACUGCGAGUGUAGAGGUGAAAUUCGUAGAUAUUCGCAAGAACACCAGUGGCGAAGGCGGCUCACUGGCCCGGUACUGACGCUGAGGAACGAAAGCGUGGGGAGCGAACAGG